rnacentral:lncRNA from 1 species
AUAACUACAGUUGCUCACAGUCGUUCAUGAUUUAUCAUUGGACACCACAAAUGAUGGUGCCUAUCUCACCCAUUUAUAUAGUCAGUCUUAUUUCAUUAAGAGAAUUAGAGAUGCUUAAUCCAGAGAUUCCUGAGUUCAGAAACAAAAGGAAUAGAAUAUCUUGAGGGAGGCUCAUUCCUUUUGAUUAUCUAUUCAUCCUGUAGUAACAAGAU